UCACGCGAUAGAAAUUUGUCUUGUACUCAAUGGAAACAAGAGAAUGAAAGAAUGUAUACAGUUAAAGGCUACUGCCUAACGUCCCAGGGUAGAAAUGCAAAAGAACAAGUGUUGUGUUGGAGGUAAAAGGUGUGGCCGCAAGGCUGGCAAAGAAACACGAAGAAGAAUAGCAAGCAUGCAGCGUAUCCAAUCGUUUUGCGUUAUCUAUUUUAAGGAAAUUUAACAACGUGAUUAUAGGCAGAAAUUGAUGGGAAUGAAGUAAACAUAAAAUGGAACGAGAAUGAUGGCGAUAAAACUGAGUGUAUCAGCAGAUUGCAAUUUUUUAAAAAAAUGGUAUUAGUUUUGAAACAAAAUUUACUUCCUCCGGUAAGACGUUCGGUCGUUUCCGUGAAUGGGAGAAAUGCGGUAAGAAUUUGAUCGUAACGUCCGCGUUUAAACCAGAAAUAAAUGUGUCGUACGUGGAUUUUUCUGUUUGUUUGUUUUGAAGUAUUUAGCAAAG